rnacentral:rRNA from 1 species
GAUGAACGCUAGCGGGAGGCCUAAUACAUGCAAGUCGAACGGUAACAGGAUAGCAAUAUCGCUGACGAGUGGCGUACGGGUGCGUAACACGUACACAACCUGCCCAAUACUGGAGCAUAGCCUCGGGAAACUGAGGGUAAUUCUCCAUAAUAUAUUAGAAUGGCAUCGUUUUAAUAUUAAAGUAACAACGGUAUUGGAUGGGUGUGCGUCUGAUUAGCUAGUUGGUGUGGUAACGGCUCACCAAGGCAACGAUCAGUAGCUGGUCUGAGAGGAUGAUCAGCCACACGGGCACUGAGACACGGGCCCGACUCCUACGGGAGGCAGCAGUAGGGAAUAUUGGACAAUGGAGGAAACUCUGAUCCAGCCAUCCCGCGUGAAGGAUUAAGGUCCUAUGGAUUGUAAACUUCUUUUCUUUGGGAAUAAAAUCUCCGAUUCUUCGGAGCUUGAAGGUACCAGGGGAAUAAGCACCGGCUAACUCCGUG